AAAGGAUUUGAUAUUAAAUAAGUGGAUGAUGUGCGUGAACUGAGUAUUCUCCACUCCGAUUACAGCUCAUGAUGCUCUGGGCUGUCAAUGUACCGUGCUGACAAUCUGGUCCUUGCCACAGGCCACAAGACCAGCCAAGACCAAAGCCAGAGCUUAUGCUAUUUCCUCCAGCCAACAAAGGAACAUCCUGAGGCUUCAGUAACCCUAGUCCGAAGGCUAGUUAUCAGUGUUCUUGGGGUUCAAAGUAAGUAAAUGAAACAGAGCUGGAAGUAGAGCUCAAGAAAAUGCAAGAAGCCUGAGAGAACAAAUAGUUGGAAGCCAAGUAAUGGGAAGACAUAUCUGAAGGCAGAGAUCAAUCUGUUGUU
rnacentral:lncRNA from 1 species